AAAGUUGCAAGUAGGAAAAUAGGAAAUCUUAUUUAGACGGUUGCUAGGAAGAGGAAGUAGAUUUAGCUUGUGUGUCUUUGACAAACAGGAAACAGAUUGACAACGCACACACAUAUUGAGGAACUUCAAACCUGAAGACAUAAGGGCAAAUAUGACACUUGUGCUGCAUGUACACAAAUAAGGUAUAGAACAUAAAUUGGACCAAUGGCACACUUGCUUAGGCUACCUCAACCCCCCCAUUAUUAGGUGUGUUUGAAGUAUAAAUAAUGCUGUUAUGAUGAUACAUGUUCAGACAUUGUGCGGCGACACUUGUCUCCAAAAGCUUUUGUAAUAAACGGAAUAUGCGGUACGAUAAUUGACCUGACUCCUGGUGUUUUAUUCUCCUUUCCAACAAACCAACUCGGGGAAGUGUUAGACUUCAACAGAACUAACCAAGAAGUGUUUUGGCAAACUACUACGCUCUCCCCGCUACCAUGGUAACAGUUAGGGUGGGCAUGGGCAAAGGAGCAGCAGCUAUUGAAUAUGCAAUGAGCAGCAGAAAACAGAAAACUUUGAAAGGGACUGAAACAAAGGGUAAUAGAUGGAGAAAUCAAGACUCAUCAGACCAGGCAUCAUUCUUCCAGUCUUCAACUGUCCAGUUUUGAUCAAGACAAUUCCUGACGAUUCCAGCUGCCAAUCUGCUGACCAUCCCCUCCUCCGCAGGUUGUCCCUGUCCCUGUACAUCUGGUCAUGCUUCUGACCUGGAUUAGGUUUUAUAGGCCCUGGACACAGCCCACAAACAUUUGUUAAUUAUCACAACUUGUACUAUUAAUAUGUUCACCCAGAACCGCCUGGUUCUUCCCUAGGUUUCUUGCUAAAUUUCAGCCCCUCUUAGGGAGUUAUUCCUACCCACUGUGCUUAAACACUGUUGUUGCUUGCUCCUUUGGGUUUCAGGCUGGGUGUUUUGUAGAAGCACUUGCAGUGCUUUUGUGCUGAGUGAGAACUGCUGAUGUAAAAAGGGCUUUAUAAAUAUAUUUGAUUGAUUGAUUGAAUGAUUGAUUGAUCAAUGGUUUUUCUUUUACUGAUAUUCUGGCAAGAGGAAUGCCCUUGACCAUGCUGAAAAUAGUCAUCUGAGACAUUACUUUUAUGUCCUGCUAAUGAUAACAUGUCUUUAAUUAACAACCUCAUAAGUCCACAUUGCAGUUUGGUGUGUUGCAAACUUUAUUCUGC
ensembl:lncRNA